rnacentral:lncRNA from 1 species
AUUUCAGGCUCAAGCUACCUUCUUGAUGAAAAAUUCUUGAAGUGUUCUGAAAAUCACAGUCAUCCCUAACUUCAGUGGAAAAGAUUCAUAUUGUCCAGCUGAACAAGGAUUGAUACUUAAAACCAGGGAUGUCCUAAAAUGAAAAUGUUUCUGUGGAUAAAACUGAUUACAUGCAGAGACUGGAAUGGAGUUAAUUCUGGGUAGAUAUGGGAUUCAAGAGAUUGGUCUUCAUGAGGCAUUUAUCAAGGAUCUGCAAGGGAUUUAGAGGUGAUGGAAGCACAGUCCUUCCUGGGCAGUUGCCUCUAGCCUGGUGGGAGGUGUUCCUCACACCCAGGACUCUCAUCCAUGGCAAAAUAAAAAGUGAGAUAUGUGGAUAUCACAUCAGAGAAGCUCCUGGCCAGGUGGCCUUGAGGAACAGGGAUGAGUUCAGCACUUAGAGAUGGAGUUGGCUUUCCCAGUUGGAGGGAAGAGCAUGAGAAGGGACAUAGGUAAGAGGAAGUAGAGUAGUGCAGGGGCCAUUGAGUAGUAGUCCUUCCAAGACAGGACUUCAUCAUAGAACCACUUUCUCUGAGGAAGCUCUGCUUGGGGGAGGUUUUAAUUCAUGAGGAAGGCAAAUUCAAUGGCUCUCAGGUGAGGUGGGCAACAGACACCUACCAACACUCCAAAGAGAACAUGUACUUCUAUAAAAGGGCACAGUCUAGUGAACAAAGUCCAACUUCUUUCUAGUCAGUUAUCUGGUCAUGUUUGUGAAGCUCCCCAGGACUGGGAACAUAGCAUAUGCAACUUCCUAACCAUCCUGAAAGCCUUUAAUUGACUUUGGGGCUGUUUGGCCUGGAGGAGGCUCUGAGUUAGUGGUGAUCAGUUGGUGUCAUGGUAGAGAAGAAAGCCUGUGAAGGUGGAGUCAUUGUCAUUAUCAGCAUAGAGUCCAUUACGCUCCCCUUCCCCGUACACCUGGAGCCAGACUUGGUCGCCCACCUCCAGAUGCAGGAGCACAGAGCCCGAGGCCUGGUCCACAUUAUUUUCCUGGUACUGAUCAUAGGUGAAGAGCAUAGCCUUGUCCUUCUUGAAGAGGCUGACCUUCACAUCCUUCAUAUAGACUGUGAUGUGGUAGGCGAAGUAGUACAGCCCAGGAAUGUUGCAGUGGAAUUUACCAGUGGAGCCAUCAUAGUGGUUUUGCUGAUUGUAGAAGAUCUUGGUAAAGCGAAUGGGCAUGUUGGGGACAGUAACGUAAGUCUCCAAUCCCACACUGAAUGCUGAGCGGUAUACAUAGGCACCUUCUCCAGGUUCUCCUUUCCUGCCUUGGAUUCCCGGAAAGCCUCGGGGACCUUCAGCCCCGGGUACUCCAGUUUCACCGAUGUCUCCCUUAGGACCAAUAAGACCUAAGGAAUGAGAAGACCUCAGUGACUACAAAGAACAGAACUCCUGCCUAGGGGGUGCCAUCUCUGCCAUCACGGCCUGGGGCCCCAUUAUGGCCCGGAUGCCCUGGGAUGCCUGCCAUCCAACCUGUGCAGGCCCCCUUGGGCAGGGGAAGCAGGACUCCGGGCCCUUGAGUCGUGGUUUCCUGGUCAUGACCGGGCAGAGCUAAUAGCAGUAGAACAGCUCCCAGCAACAGCAUCCUGAGCCCUGGAAUCCACAUGUGCACUGUCAGCCAUGGAGAGACAGACCCCACACACACACCCAGUUGGGACCUACAAAGGACUCCGUCCAUCUCAGCAGUGUCUACUUCUAGGAGCUGCUUUCUCAGUAUUCAACUCUUCCAGGAAGACUUUUCUGAAUAUUGCAGCCCACCUUGAUCUCUUUCUGCCCUGAAAUUUGUAAUACUUAGCAUUAUUCCCUGUGUGUAGUCUCCUUUCCUCACCAAGAUUAUGAAUUCAGUGAUUGCACAGUUGACACUCCUCUAAUUUUCCCGUAUCUGAGCACAGGACCAAGCACAAGGAAAGCUCCAAGAGUCGACUUGCCAAGAAUCCAUCCUUGGGUUUCCCAAGUACGAUGACACAGAUUGCUCCAUUCAAUGCUAACACCUUGUGUUAAGCAGACAACGAGAGACACAUCAUCCCAUGAACAUAUCCCCUGGCCCUUU